UGUAAAUCUUGAAAACUUUUUUGAAUUAGAAGCUAAUGUUAACAUUUUACAUUCAGAAAAUAUCACUCUGGAAAGUUUAUAAAUAUAUAUAUAUUUAUUGUGUGUGUGUGUGUGUGUGUGUGUGUGUGUGUGUGUAUCGUGGCGGGGAUACAC